rnacentral:sRNA from 1 species
CUGCUUCUCUUACUUCCUGAGUCUCAAUUUCCUUAUCUGUCUCAGGGGGAUACAACCACAAUUGAUGUAUGGAUCAAAUAAGAAAUGGGCAUUAAUAGCACCUUGUAAAGGUGGUGACCAUCGCUAUGUGAACAACUACACGAACAGCUUCGGGGGUGAGUGGAGUGCACCGGACACCAUGAAGAGAUACUCCAUGUACCUGACACCCAAAGGUGGGGUCCGGACAUCAUACCAGCCCUCGUCUCCUGGCCGCUUCACCAAGGAGACCACCCAGAAGAAUUUCAACAAUCUCUAUGGCACCAAAGGUAACUACACCUCCCGGGUCUGGGAGUACUCCUCCAGCAUUCAGAACUCUGACAAUGACCUGCCCGUCGUCCAAGGCAGCUCCUCCUUCUCCCUGAAAGGCUAUCCCUCCCUCAUGCGGAGCCAAAGCCCCAAGGCCCAGCCCCAGACUUGGAAAUCUGGCAAGCAGACUAUGCUGUCUCACUACCGGCCAUUCUACGUCAACAAAGGCAGUGGGAUUGGGUCCAACGAAGCCCCAUGAGCUC